rnacentral:rRNA from 1 species
UGGGGGAUAUUGCACAAUGGGCGAAAGCCUGAUGCAGCGACGCCGCGUGGGGGAUGAAGGCUUUCGGGUUGUAAACCUCUUUCGCUAUCGAACAAGGCCCGCUUAGGGUGGGUUGAGGGUAGGUGGAGAAGAAGCGCCGGCUAACUACGUGCCAGCAGCCGCGGUAAUACGUAGGGCGCGAGCGUUGUCCGGAAUUAUUGGGCGUAAAGGGCUUGUAGGCGGCUUGUUGCGCCUGCUGUGAAAACGCGGGGCUUAACUUCGCGCGUGCAGGGGGUACGGGCAGGCUUGAGUGUGGUAGGGGUGACUGGAAUUCCAGGUGUAGCGGUGAGAUGCGCAGAUAUCUGGAGGAACACCGAUGGCGAAGGCAGGUCACUGGGCCAUUACUGACGCUGAGGAGCGAAAGCAUGGGUAGCGAACAGG